rnacentral:rRNA from 1 species
GUGGGGAAUCUUCCGCAAUGGACGAAAGUCUGACGGAGCAACGCCGCGUGAGUGAUGAAGGUCUUCGGAUUGUAAAGCUCUGUUAAUCGGGACGAAAGAGCCUAGUGUGAAUAAUGCUAGGAAGUGACGGUACCGGAAUAGAAAGCCACGGCUAACUACGUGCCAACAGCCGCGGUAAUACGUAGGUGGCAAGCGUUGUCCGGAAUUAUUGGGCGUAAAGCGCGCGCAGGCGGAUCUGCCAGUCUGUCUUAAAAGUUCGGGGCUUAACCCCGUGAUGGGAUGGAAACUACAGAUCUAGAGUAUCGGAGAGGAAAGUGGAAUUCCUAGUGUAGCGGUGAAAUGCGUAGAUAUUAGGAAGAACACCAGUGGCGAAGGCGACUUUCUGGACGAAAACUGACGCUGAGGCGCGAAAGCCAGGGGAGCGAACGGGAUUAGAAACCCUGGUAGUCC